GACAAGGGCAGGCGUUUGUGCCCGGAAGCGUGCUUCCUGGUUGGAUGGGGUCAGAGGGGAUGGCGGCUGUAGCUGUGGGUCCUGGGGUUCCUCCCCCAGCCCCUGGCCCGGGAAUAGGGCCUGGACCUGCAGAGGGGGCGGAUGCUCUUUUCGUAGCGUUAAGCGCCGGUUUCACGGCCUUGAGCCACCCUCUGCUCUAUGUAAAGCUUCUAGUGCAGGUCGGACAUGAGCCUCUUCCUCCAAGUGUUGGGAGAAAUUUGUUGGGGAGAAAUGUACUUUACCUACCUGGCUUUUUUACAUAUGCCAGACACAUUGUGGAAGUGGAUGGGAAAAGGGGCCUUUUCCGUGGCCUUACUCCUCGAAUCUUCUCUAGCACUUUAUCCACUGUAAGCAGAGGGAGAGUAAAGAAGGCCUUUCCUUUGGAGGAUGUGGAGCAUGUUUCAAACAAGGAUGAUGUGAAAACUUCCCUCAGGAAAGUGGCAAAAGAGACUUCCCAUGAGAUGAUGAUACAGUGUGUAUCCCGGGUUAUCUCUCAUCCGCUUCAUGUAAUUUCCAUGCGCUGUAUGGUCCAGUUCGUAGGACGGGAAGUGAAAUACAGGGGUGUGUUUAGUUCCAUUGGGACAAUUUGGAAAGAAGAAGGACUGUUGGGGUUCUUUGUAGGUUUAGUUCCUCAUAUCCUAGGUGAUGUUAUUUUUCUAUGGUGCUGCAACCUUCUGGCUCACUUUAUCAACACCUAUGCAGUGGAUGACAAUUUCAAUCAGGCCUCUGUGAUACGGAGCUACACCAAAUUUGUGAUGGGGAUUGCUGUGAGCAUGCUGACAUACCCUUUUCUUCUUGUGGGAGAUCUCAUGGCAGUGAACAACUGUGGGUUACUUGCUGGCCUCCCUCCAUACGCCCCUGUGUUUUCCACUUGGAUUCAGUGUUGGAGACACCUCAGUGCCCAGAAUGCAUUUUUGUACACAUUACUUGGCUGGAGAAUUGCAUUGCAACAUUCAGAGAAGUGCAAAUUUCGAAGGAUGGCUGUGUUUUGAUUCUCAUAUUGUGCAAAUUAGAUGAAUGCCAAAAUGGGUCAGAACAGACUUAUGAGUGAACAUAUUGGAAAGACACAUGGACCAGAAAUAGACGGAUCCAUCCAUUCAUCUAACUGGUAGUUGUCCUAAAGAAAUAUAAGAGGCAAGUCUUAUGGAAGCAUGCAGGAAAGUGCUAUUGUGCUUGUGUCCUGCUUUGGGGCUUCCCUUAGGCAUCUGGCUGGCCUGUGUGGGAACAGAAUGCUGGACUAGAGCGGCCUUUGGUCUGAUCCAAUAGGACUACUCUUGUAUUCUUAAAGUGUACCAUUUCCUUUGUAAACUAAGGCAGGGCUAUUUGUUUAUGUACUAUAUUACUUCCGACUCACUCAAGAGGGUUUACUAUUGAAAAUGAGCCCAAUUCAGAAACUGGAGGGUAAAAUAAAGCCAAUUUUUAAAAACAUAUGUUUGAACUUGAGCCUUUUUAGCUCAAGGUAUGUGCUUCUACCUCCAGAGGACUCUGCUUGGUUCUAAACUUACAGGUCAAAAGGGACACCAUUACUCAAGCACAGGAGGGACAUCACUUGAAUACAUCUACUUCAGUCAGAAUCCAGAGCAUGAAUUCUGGAGGGUGCUGAGUGCCUCUGAUGGAUCCAGAAUGUGAAUGUACCCACGCGCACACACAGACCCAGUGGUGCAGUGGAAAAAGAGAAACCAUUCCUGAUGAUUGUCCGGAUAAUCAGAACUAAAGACAGCGGCUACAGAGCAACAAAAUCCUUCUCCUUCACGGCACAUCUCUUUCUGAUUCCUAUUACAGGGGUAUAACUUGCUCCUUUGUAAUAAACCCACCAUCAUUUUAUACCUUGAUUGCUGCCUCCUUCUCAGCAGAAGCAAGAGCUAGCACGUGUUUCGACUUCCUCAACAGUAAAUUGGCCAGAGGACCCAAUUCACUACUCUUGCCAUGCGAAAGGGAAGCAAAGAGGCUGGGACGUGGCUUUUUUGGAUUUCUCCGCCCAUGUUAGGACCUAACUCUUUCAUCUCUACAUGGCACUAUCUGUAAUAAAACAGAGAAAACCAGUUUGGAAUAAAACCAGAGUUGGAGACGUGGGUAGUUUUGGUUGGUUGUCUCCCAAUUUAGCUAUCAUGGUGAAGGACUGAAAAGAUUAUAAGAAAGACUGGCACCACUUUUCUCUCUGGAAAGUGUCCCCGGAUCGUUUUGGCAGCGCCUGUCUGGACUGUGACUAUACAAAAGCUGAAAGCAGCGGUCUACUUUUAAAAGAGCUAUUUUGUUCUUUGUUUUACAGUUUGACAGACUCUCUUAAUAAACCAGAUCGGCACCUGAAGCUUUUAAAAA